GGGGUUGUGGCUCAGUGGUAGAGUGCUUGCCUAACAUGCAUGAGGCUCUGAGUUCGAUCCUCAGCACCACA
rnacentral:tRNA from 1 species